rnacentral:rRNA from 1 species
UGGGGAAUAUUGCACAAUGGGCGCAAGCCUGAUGGAGCAACACCGCGUGGGUGAAGAAGGGUUUCGGCUCGUAAAGCUCUGUUGUUAAAGAAGAACACGUAUGAGAGUAACUGUUCAUACGUUGACGGUAUUUAACCAGAAAGUCACGGCUAACUACGUGCCAGCAGCCGCGGUAAUACGUAGGUGGCAAGCGUUAUCCGGAUUUAUUGGGCGUAAAGAGAGUGCAGGCGGUUUUCUAAGUCUGAUGUGAAAGCCUUCGGCUUAACCGGAGAAGUGCAUCGGAAACUGGAUAACUUGAGUGCAGAAGAGGGUAGUGGAACUCCAUGUGUAGCGGUGGAAUGCGUAGAUAUAUGGAAGAACACCAGUGGCGAAGGCGGCUACCUGGUCUGCAACUGACGCUGAGACUCGAAAGCAUGGGUAGCGAACAGGAUUAGAUACCCUGGUAGUCCAUACCGUAAACGAUGAGUGCUAGGUGUUGGAGGGUUUCCGCCCUUCAGUGCCGGAGCUAACGCAUUAAGCACUCCGCCUGGGGAGUACGACCGCAAGGUUG